UACGAAGGGGGCUAGCGUUGCUCGGAAUCACUGGGCGUAAAGGGUGCGUAGGCGGGUCUUUAAGUCAGGGGUGAAAUCCCGGAGCUCAACUCCGGAACUGCCCUUGAAACUGCAAUGCUAGAAUCUUGGAGAGGCGAGUGGAAUUCCGAGUGUAGAGGUGAAAUUCGUAGAUAUUCGGAAGAACACCAGUGGCGAAGGCGACUCGCUGGACAAGUAUUGACGCUGAGGUGCGAAAGCGUGGGGAGCAAACAGG
rnacentral:rRNA from 1 species